CCCAUGUAGCCUGAUCAUUGAGCGUCCCUUAAAGUCAAACUUAGAUGGAGAAUGAAAGAUACAAGGAUAAUCUCAGUGCUUGACCUUUUGCACUCUGGAAUCUUACAACAGAGAAGGAAGAAGCCCUCCAAAACAUCAUAAGUCAGCCGAUAACUUUGAUCCUCUUGACAGCACAUAAUGAUGGGCCUCAGCAUUCCACCCUCAUUAUUACUGCUACAAGCUGGCGUGAGUUGGUCCAAGUUGAGUGGAAUGUCUGAGGUGGCGGUGUGGCUAAGGGCGACGCGUCCCACAAGGCGUCGAAGCAGUUGCUGACUAAAGUCACCAAGAAGCCGCCCAAGAAGCGGAAGAAAUCUCACAAGCACAGCUAUCCCACUUACAUGUACAGGGUGCUGACCCAGGUCCACCCUCUCACCAGAAUCUCGUCCAAAGCCAUGGCUGUUAUGAAUUCCUUCAUUGUUGACAUUCUUGAGUGCAUUGCCUCUGAAGCUUCACACCUAAUUUACUACAACAAACACCAUCUCAGCCAGAGAGAUCCAGAGCGCCGCCUACCUCAUGCUGCCGGGGAACUGGCCAAACCGUCUCUGAAGGCAUGAAAGUGGUCACCAAAAACUCCAUUUAGAUUGAUCAUUCUAAAGAUUACAUGAGCUGUGUACACAUACUAACCUCAAUGCUGAAGCAGAGGUACGUACUAUGUCUCACACCUUAGCUGCAACAUGCAGGUAUGGGCCUUCCCUUGGAGCUCUGUGUCAAUGAGCCAAGCUACUUAACUUGCGAGAAUGCAGCAGAUCAUUGAACCUUUUCUUGCACUGAAUCCAUGAGUACUGAUGGUGUCAUGCUGCACUCACUGCAGCCGCAGUUUGAUUCCAGGCUUUCUUGUUUGCUGCAAGAGUAUUAAAGCAGUCAGCAGGGUACAGGACUCGUUUCCUCUUCUGGGCUCCUUCCACCAAAUUUUGAAGGUCCCAGUCAGAAAAGCAUGGGACAGCUAGAACCAUCCAUUCUCCCACAUCUCCUUCGUAUGACAUUCCAUGAAUAAAAAUGUAAGGU